rnacentral:rRNA from 1 species
AAUAUUGCGCAAUGGACGGAAGUCUGACGCAGCGACGCCGCGUGAGCGAUGAAGGNCUNNGGGUCNUNAAGCUCUGUCCUUGGNNNNNAAGGUCUUCGGCCUUGACGGUACCCAAGAAGAAAGCCCCGGCUAACUACGUGCCAGCAGCCGCGGUAAUACGUAGGGGGCGAGCGUUGUCCGGAAUUACUGGGCGUAAAGGGUGCGUAGGCGGCCCUUUAAGUCAGAUGUGAAAGCCCGCAGCUUAACUGCGGAAUUGCAUUUGAAACUGGAGGGCUUGAGUGUCGGAGAGGGUAGUGGAAUUCCCAGUGUAGCGGUGAAAUGCGUAGAUAUUGGGAGGAACACCAGUGGCGGAGGCGACUGCCUGGACGAUAACUGACGCUGAGGCACGAAAGCUAGGGGAGCAAAC